AGUGAAAUUACUGGGUCAUAUAGUAACUAUAGUUAACGUUUUGAGGAAUUACCAAAUUGUUUUUCAAAAUGGCUGUACCACCUCAUAGUUUCCACCAGUAAU
rnacentral:pre_miRNA from 1 species